UAAACUAUUAAUAUUUUGUUUUGAAAACAAAAGUUAAGAUUUUUUUCUUGUAGUUU
rnacentral:tRNA from 1 species